rnacentral:piRNA from 1 species
ACUGAAGGAUGGCCAACCAAUAACUGGC